GGUUCUGAGUUAGAUUUCAUCACUCACCACCCAGCAGAAAUUUGGCAUUAGGUUGUACAUGAGUACAACCUAAUGUCUGUACAUGUACAGUCACAAGGUGACCAACUGCAGAAGAAACUUGUCACACGUGGAGAGUCUGAGUUCAUUCCUGUGGGGUUUUGCCAGCUUUGUAGCAAAAUUGUACCAAUCCUCUUGUGGCAAAAUUUUAUACAGAACAUGAAAGCGUUUCUUAGUCGGGAUCAGAGUUUUAUAAGUGAGCUACCUUAAACAUUUACUUAAAAAAAAAAAUGCAGUCUUCAGAUAUAACUUAAAAUUGAUGAAUAAGCAAACAAAUCACAUAUAUUGUCUGCAAAAACUAGUUUGGCCAGCUCUAGUUCAUAGCCAGAAAUUAUUCACUUCAUGUUUUAUAGUCAUACUUAAAAUAAUCAGCAAUGAGCUUAUCUCCCAGGUAUAAGUGUCUGAGGCACAUGUAAAAAUAACAUAAUGUUUUAUUUAUACAGUAGCCUACUCUUUUAGUCAAAUGAUGGAAGUUAUACUUGAGUAAAUGCUGAGUAUAAAAGAGUGAAAUUUUCUAAUCCCACCCUGUUACACUAGUGAGCAGCUUAUCUGCUCUGCACCUUAUGUGUGGAGACCUGGCCAUCUAAAGAUCAAAUUGGGAGUCACAGCUUUGGUUUUGUUUUGUACUCUCUCUAGCUCAUCUUAUAGCUUGGACUGAGUUGGGGAAGUUGGGAGCCAGAUCCAUGUGGGUACAGAUCCAGAUGGCUGUGUUGAGAACUGCAGAUCUGAUGUAGCAGUUUCAGGACAUCCCUCAGGUCCUGUCACUGUCACCAGAGAGAAGAGACCAGUGCCUGCUCCCUUGACUCCCACCAUGAUGAUUCUCCCCUCAGUCUGCAGGCCGAACAGACCAAGUGACCUCAGACACUCCUCAUAUCCUCCCCUCCAGAGCUUUCACCAUCCUCAUGGCCCUUCUUUGGUUGUUCUCUAAUAGCUUGAUGUGGCAGUGUGUUUUAUGAGUUCUACAGUUGUUUCAAUUUCAACAGUUAGUGGUUCAAUGUUAAUUAAGCAAAAUGGUUUGAUCCUUGUACCCCCGUUUUAUCCCCUCAUAAUGGUUUCUCCCAAGUUGUUUACCCCUAAGUUUUCCCACCACUUAGCUGCCACUCAACGUGCCUGUUUCCCUGCUCCAGCCUUCCUUCCUUCCUUCCCUCCCUCGAAUGGGCCUGUCACUCCAAGUUGUGCUGUCCCCUUCCCUUGUCCAUCAACCUAGAUCCACCCCUUUUGUUCCUGAAUGUUCGAUGCCCUGGUUGAUUUGUUUUAGAGGCUUCAAAACAGUUGAUUUGAUUUAGAGGCUUCUCUCCUCCCCUAUGUCAACCCCAUUGUCUUGCUAGAUCCCGUGCUCCUCCCGGAGUGUUCUCCCAUUGGUUAUGUGAUGUUUUCACCCCCUAAAGUAGCCUCCUUUAAAAACUCUACCCGGACUGCUGUUCCCUUGUCACUUGUCCCUGACCCAUCCUCUGAAUAAAGCUUCGUUGGACUGCA